GGUCACUGACCAAGAGCCAGGGGAAGGAGAUUUGACUAGGGUCUCCAAACCUUCUGCCGACCGAAGAGGACAGUCUAAGCAGGGAAGGCCUUGGGGACAAGUGGGGAGAAGUGGCCUUGGGGAGAAGGAUUGUGGGUGGGCAGUCUGAGUCCACCCACCCUACCUCCUGUCUUGCCCUUAGUCAAGGGAACUGUGUGGGUUAUGAACACUAGCAUGAGAGGGUAAGGACCCAAGCCAGAGGCCAGAGCCACAGCUGGUGAAGGUUGUGUGCCAGAAUGGUCAGGCUUCAGGAGUAGAGGGAUUCGAACAUCUGAAGUUCAGGAUGCUCAGAUUUAGGAGGCGGCCUCUGGUCUGCCGUUUCCUGUGUGCUGCGCUUUUAUUCUGCAUGGAUGGGUAGGUAGCUGGUGUGUGGAGGCCUACGGUUGACGCCAGGCUCUCUACGCUUGGAGAAAGUAUCUCACUGAAGCUUGGAGCUUACUGUUUCUACUAGGCUGGUUGGCCAGCAAAUUGUAGGGAUCUACCUGUCACCACAUCAUGCCAUGUUUUCCAUGGGUGAUGGAGAUCCAAACUUGGGGUCCUCACGCAGAGUGAGCACUUUCCCCCUGAGCAAUCUCCCCAGUCUAGUGCUGCCCUCUUAUAAUACUUCUAUACUGCUGCUGCUGCUGCUGCUGCUGCAGGGACAGAGAAAGCAGGUACAGUAACCAAGAACAAGCAACGACCACUGCCCUUUGUGCUCCGGGGAGAUCAGGCCGAACCCACAAAGUACCAUCACCUGCCCAGGGUGAUCAGCUGAGUUUCCCAGGGGAGGGCACAUGGCACGCGAUAUUGCAACAUAGUAAAUGCAGAAGCGACUAGAAGGAACCAAGUGAUUGUUUACUGAGCUAGACAUCAGAAAGAUUUGUAUCAAGGGCGAAGUCUCAGAAAACCGCCACAGUGGUCUGGGGACUAGUCCCAAGAGCCAAUAAAGAUGACAGAGUGGAAAGACUUGGAAGGUCUAGAGAAUGCCACCAGCCAGCCACACACCUUUAUACGCACCACCCACCUCCUAAGUCCUUUACAAAUAUUGACUCUUUUAAUCCUCACAAAUGUUGUUAACCCUGACGAAAGUGUGAGGGAAACUGUGUGGUUAUUAACUAGUCAAACCAGACUUAAACCCACCAAGCAGGGCUCCAAGGCUGUGCUCUGAACCGUUGCGUGUAUCAUCUCUCAGUGAGACCAGGGUGACAAGGGUUCCACCGCCAUCCGUGAGAAGCCUCGUGUCAUCACAGACAAGCUCUACAUUACACAGGAGCUCUGUGUAGCAGCUCCUCUCAGAAGCCUUCAUGGUGGGCUAUUUGGUUUGGGGCUAUUUAUUUUAAUUUAUUUAUCAUGGAGGACAGGGUCCCAUGUAUACCUGAGAGCACACAACCCAUGUGUACAGGCGGCCAGAAGAGGGCGUCAGAUCCCUUGGCACUGGAGUUACAGAUGGUUGUGAGUUGCCAUGUGGUUUGAAGAACUGAACCCAGGUCCUCCAUAAAGAGUCAUAAAGAGUAGCAACUGCUCUUAACCACU
rnacentral:lncRNA from 1 species